UAUUCAAAGAUUAAUUAACCUCCUUAACAUCUUCAAUGUCACACUCUAAUUAUAAGCUAUUUGAAU
rnacentral:tRNA from 1 species